UCUGCCUCUAGAGGGGUUACAGGUGUGGCGGCAUGUCACAUGCACAUCAGUAAGUGACAGAAAGGAGAAAAGCAUUUUCUAUGCUCAGUAUUCUGACCUGUGAACAUCUGAGUGAUUACUAGUCUAAAGUU